UCUUCGGCAAUGGGCGAAAGCCUGACCGAGCGACGCCGCGUGCGGGAUGAAGGCCUUCGGGUUGUAAACCGCUGUCGUAGAGGAGGAAAUGCAGGGGGGUUCUCCCUUCUGUUUGACCUAUUCUAGGAGGAAGUACGGGCUAAGUUCGUGCCAGCAGCCGCGGUAAGACGAACCGUACGAACGUUAUUCGGAAUUACUGGGCUUAAAGGGUGCGUAGGCUGCGCGGAAAGUUGGGUGUGAAAGCCCUCAGCUCAACUGAGGAACUGCACUCAAAACUACCGUGCUCGAGGGAGACAGAGGUGAGCGGAACUCAAGGUGGAGCGGUGAAAUGCGUUGAUAUCUUGAGGAACACCGGUGGCGAAGGCGGCUCACUGGGUCUUUUCUGACGCUGAGGCACGAAAGCCAAGGUAGCAAACGGGAUUAGAUACCCCGGUAGUCUUGGCUGUAAACGAUGAGCACUUGUUUGAAGGGUCCUCCAUAGCCUUUCAGACGUAGCGAAAGUGUUAAGUGCUCCGCCUGGGGA
rnacentral:rRNA from 1 species